rnacentral:tRNA from 1 species
CGAGGGAUUAGCUCAGCAGUACAGAGCAAAGGUUCAUAUCCCUCCGGUCGCGGGUUCAAGUCCCGCACGCUCACCCA